UACAGGAGGUCUCAAGCGUUGUUCGGAUUCAUUGGGCGUAAAGGGUGUGUAGGUGGCGCCGUAAGUCGGGUGUGAAAUUUCGGAGCUUAACUCCGAAACUGCAUUCGAUACUGCGGUGCUUGAGGACUGGAGAGGAGACUGGAAUUCAUGGUGUAGCAGUGAAAUGCGUAGAGAUCAUGAGGAAGACCAGUGGCGAAGGCGGGUCUCUGGACAGUUCCUGACACUGAGACACGAAGGCCAGGGGAGCAAACGGG
rnacentral:rRNA from 1 species